UAAGCAUACCGGCAGCUUUACCAUGCAAGUCGAGGGGUAUGCUUCUUCGGAAGCAGAGACCGGCGCACGGGUGCGUAACGCGUAUGCAAUCUGCCUUUCACAGAGGGAUAGCCCAGAGAAAUUUGGAUUAAUACCUCAUAGCAUAGCACAAUCGCAUGAUUGAGCUAUUAAAGUCACAACGGUGAAAGAUGAGCAUGCGUCCCAUUAGCUGGUUGGUAAGGUAACGGCUUACCAAGGCUACGAUGGGUAGGGGUCCUGAGAGGGAGAUCCCCCACACUGGUACUGAGACACGGACCAGACUCCUACGGGAGGCAGCAGUGAGGAAUAUUGGUCAAUGGGCGCAAGCCUGAACCAGCCAUGCCGCGUGCAGGAUGACGGUCCUAUGGAUUGUAAACUGCUUUUGUACGAGAAGAAACACUCCUUCGUGAAGGAGCUUGACGGUAUCGUAAGAAUAAGGAUCGGCUAACUCCGUGCCAGCAGCCGCGGUAAUACGGAGGAUCCAAGCGUUAUCCGGAAUCAUUGGGUUUAAAGGGUCCGUAGGCGGUCUGGUAAGUCAGUGGUGAAAGCCCAUCGCUCAACGGUGGAACGGCCAUUGAUACUGCUGGACUUGAAUUAUUAGGAAGUAACUAGAAUAUGUAGUGUAGCGGUGAAAUGCUUAGAGAUUACAUGGAAUACCAAUUGCGAAGGCAGGUUACUACUAAUGGAUUGACGCUGAUGGACGAAAGCGUGGGUAGCGAACAGGAUUAGAUACCCUGGUAGUCCACGCCGUAAACGAUGGAUACUAGCUGUUGGAAGCAAUUUCAGUGGCUAAGCGAAAGUGAUAAGUAUCCCACCUGGGGAGUACGAACGCAAGUUUGAAACUCAAAGGAAUUGACGGGGGCCCGCACAAGCGGUGGAGCAUGUGGUUUAAUUCGAUGAUACGCGAGGAACCUUACCAAGGCUUAAAUGCAGACUGACCGAUUUGGAAACAGAUCUUUCGCAAGACAGUUUACAGGUGCUGCAUGGGUUGUCGUCAGCUCGUGCCGUGAGGUGUCAGGUUAGUCCUAUACGAGCGCAACCCCUGUUGUUAGUUGCCAGCGAGUAGUGUCGGGAACUCUAAC
rnacentral:rRNA from 1 species